ACGGUGAAGAUAACGCCGAUAAGAUGGAAGAUUCCCCUCAAAGCGUUGAUCAGCCACGGAUAAUUUCCGGCAUGGACCACGGUGAAGAUAACGCCGAUAAGGUGGAAGAUUCGCCUCAAAGCGUUGAUCAGCCAAGGAUCAUUUCCGGCGUGGACCACGGUGAAGAUAACGCCGAUAAGGUGGAAGAUUCCCCUCAAAGCGUUGAUCAGCCAAGGAUCAUUUCCGGCGUGGACCACGGUGAAGAUAACGCCGAUAAGGUGGAAGAUUCCCCUCAAAGCGUUGAUCAGCCAAGGAUCAUUCCCGGCGUGGACCACGGUGAAGAUAACACCGAUAAGGUGGAAGAUUCCCCUCAAAGCGUUGACCAGCCAAGGAUCAUUUCCGGCGUGGACCACGGUGAAGAUAACGCAGAUAAGAUGGAAGAUAACCCUGCGUUAACUAUAGAUACUCCCUAUAAAGGAAUAAGCGGCAUCUCCUCUGAUUCGUCAUCAGAAAUUAGUGAGAACACAGAGCCAAUAAACCCAAUUACAGAGAGCGUUCCACCCGCAAAGUCCCUAAAGAUGCGAAUGCUUGAUCAAGUCAAUGUUCCUGUGUUGCCAUUCGGAGGAAACCGUUUCGCAGAACUUAGCUUUAAAGUGCAGCCUAAUGGCCAUACGCGUAUGAUACUUAACGAAAUAAUGGCUAUUAUUCGUGAGGAAGCGAUGCCUCCAAAUGAAAGUAUCGAUGUGGCUGAAGGCGAUAAAGUUACGCCAGGAACUUCAAAUCUGCAAUACACAGGCUUUUCCAGGGAUCGUCAACUGAUGAUGCCUGAAAUUUUUGCCGAAAAGCGCACGUCUGCUGAGCCAUAUCUGUCAAUGCUGUCACAGUCCAGAAAUGGAAUCCCACAUAAUGCUAUUCACAAUACCUCUGUUAUCACUGACGUUUUCCAUAGCGGCGAAAAGAUUCUGAUGCCAGAUGCACCAACGAUUAUUAUGCAGGUGCCGCCUCCUGCGACACCUGUUGCUCGAUUUGCUCUUCGCAAAAUUCCUAGCAACAUCAAUAUUCCAAGCGUUUACGACAUCCUUAAUCCUGAGGAACGUAAACAAAACAACGGGUUCACGAGCGUCAUUGACAAUGUCUCUGGCCGGGCUAUUGUAACCUUGCCUCUGUUGCCACUGCGAGCACUGUCCCCAAUCCAGCAGAGCUAUUACCGCUACAAUAGGAUCCAACCUUUCUCGCCCCUACAGGUUAGCCAAAAUGGAAGUUUCCAGCCGUCUAAGCCUCAAAUUCCCAGUCUGUACCCAGGCCAGUUUCAAUCAGCAGCGUAUCUGCCUCCUCCAGCGUCUGGCUAUGAGCGUCUAUUCCCACAGAGUUAUCCAACGCCCCAGGGCAGCAUUUUCUACAUUAACACCACGCGCUGAGCUUUGCCAGUUGGAAUAGCAACAAAGUUUCCAGAUUUACGAUCGUCUCAUAGGCACGUCGACAACACAGAGAACAGAUCAAUGACAGCAAGUUUGCUUUUGCUUCGGCGAUAGACAUCCUUGAACGGCCUUAAUCAGACAAAAAAUGGAAUGUCGUUUUAUCGAAUGUAAGAGGAGAUACCAUCUCGGCGCUCCAAAAUAAAUUUUGGCUGACGCCGAGCAAUGGGCAGCGAAAAACAGUACUAUCGCUGGCGACAGCAGCAUCAGCAAUGACAACCAUGAUAGCCCCACUUGACGGCGGUCUAUCGGCCCAACGUUUUCACAGUCAACAGAAACAGGCAACACAAGCGGUCCUUCCGUACGUUUCAUUACCCCAGUGGGGUUCCGUGAAACUAUAAUUUUAAGGUACAGUAUUUUUGCAUCUGCUUUGUCGAGCGCACUUGCGAUAGAAAACUUCUUAAUGCCUACAUCGGACGUAAAAGUCGAAACGUUUAAUCAUUUGUAGCGGAAAAUGAUGUUGAUACACAGAAUAGAUAUGCAAUGAUGGAUUAAAUCUAUAUAUUUGAUUUAAAUUUAGCUGACGGUAGCCCCAGCAAGCAUCGUAUGCUUGUCAAGGAUGUAGCAAUGCGGUAGCGAUGAAGCAUUUCCGCAUCGUUGAGUGUUUCCUCCUGGUCAAUCCUUAUUACGAAUUAGUAAUUGGGCCUCCAUGUUCUCUAAGCAUAGCAAGAAGAAUAACACAUAAAAACAUUUCAAAUUAUAUCAGGUAACCCACACUCUAGACAACAUAACUUGUUAUCCAGUGUUUAGAAGUAGUUCUUAAUUUUGAUUUUCGUCCAGCCUGAAGAUAGAAGAAACUUUCCGCUAAGGUAAUCGAUCAAAUGUUUGUUCGGUUGUUUGUUAAAUCGCUAUAGCAAGAGCAUUUGCUUUAUAAACGACAAGAUCUUUUAUUUGCAUCUGGUAUACUUACGUUAGAAAUAACCGAAAAGGUUAUCAUUAUACGGCGAAGCAAUAAGGUGAGAGGUAAAGUGCUCUAGGCAUCAUUCUAAGCAUGAAUACGAUCCGUCUGUGGUCAAUAAACCACUAAAAAAUUUUCCGAAAUUCACUGUCACUAAGUUUGUGUGCACAGUUAUAUUGCAGUUGAUGGUUUACAAAGCUAAGUCACCCCUCGAAACAAAUGUCAUCGCCACCCCACACUCUACAAACAGUAAUAAGUUCUUUAACCAUGUAGCAUGUCCGACUUUACCAGUUUGAACCGUGGACUCCUCCUCGAAAGCGAUAUUGUAAACGGGCAUUUUUUCGUUCGUGUUUCGCAAACGGAGAACCACGUAGAUACGUAGAGGUCUAACGCACUCUCUACAAUGUAUGAAGAGGUUCUCUAUAAACAAGGAAUCCCGUUUAUAGUAGAUUCACAGAGAUAAAUAGCUGAGCUACCGUUGUUACGAAAGCAUUUUUCGAACAGACGAUAUUAAGGCUUCCCAGUCAGUAGCCAAGUCUCGUGCAGAAAUUCGAACUAAUUCCCGUUUGCUUGGACUAAAAUGAUCGAAUUUUCUAGACGUCCAAAGGCCAGUACAAGUCAAUAUUGAGCUAUCGUUCUGAAUCGCAAACAUCGCUUUAACUUAGCCGUAAUAACUUUAAUGACUGAUGACCUUUGUCUUUUAUAGCAGUAGCUUGAAGAAAUCUGCACGAUGGCUCUUCUAUUGUUUGGCCUGCUUUUCGGUCUUAUCCGAUGUUGAAUAAUUUGAACUUCUUUUAAUCAAUUUUUUCUCCUUCCGUUUGUUAGAGUAUAACCCCGCCGGAAAUCGGCUUGAUUAAAUGCGAACGUAGAGAUAAUUUACUGGUGGGGGGUAUUUACAAAUGUUCCACUUGAUUCGUAAAUCGUCCCUGUGGUGGUCCUAUUAUCAAGAGGAGACUCAGUAAGAGAUGUAGCCAAAAAUGUAGUUGACGUAGCAGAAAAUCCACGAGAUCGUUAAUAGAGGCAAAAGUCCGCUGAAUCAAAGAAAAGUCCUGGGUGGGAAGGCGUAGAAGUCUCUACAGCGUUGGUAUUCAAUCCUUGGUGGUGCAAUUAAAACAAUUAUAUUCCUAGUUAUCAUCGAAUUGACUUUUAUUCGUACGUAGGAUCUUUCGACUCGUCUUGCAGAAUGCCCUGCUUGCUACCUCUGGCAGUGUCAAGCCCACUUUAGAAAAAAGUGUGACCUAUCAGCAGGCACGAACGGGACCGCGAACGCGCGACUAUGCACCUGUAGCUUUUACGUUCAACGGUGGUAGGUUUGUUCCUACGCGAACAUUUGCACACAUCGUGCAACGCUACGUACAAAGCGACUGAUGGCCAACGCUACUCAGAAUCAAUACGGAUGGUCACGUAUCAGAACAAAUUCUACCCGCGCGUUGAGGUGAGGUGCACACGGAAGAAAUAGAGAGCACAUCAGACCGAUCAUCGAAUGGCUGUGCCUCACUGUCUACCAUAAAUCAAGCACACAACCGAACACAUACAUAAACGCAAUUUCAUCUAACUAAUAUUGUUAGUAGAAUGUUGAGCGUACCUGCAAGGAUUUUGUCUCUGCUUAACAUUUAACCUGUUCUACUUCUGCCAAUCUAUUGUAGGUUAGUGCUUAUCGGAAUAACACGGUAAUCUGAGUAUUUCUAUUAUGUUACAAGUGUAUUUCUAUAUAUUAGCAUCAGGUCGAGGUCUAAGUAGAGUUGAGUGUUGCCUUCGCAAUGGGCCGAAGCCUUAUUUUCGAGGGAGGGAGGGAGGGGGGGAGGGAGAGAGAGUGUGAGUGUGAGUGUGUGUGUCUGUGUGUGUGUGUGUGUGAGAGAGAGAGAGAGAGAGAGAGAGAGGUAGAAACAAAGCGUUUUUCCCGUAGCAGCGGCUGUUCACGUUUGCAGAUGAUGCGCAAUGCGCAUGACAAGGUCGGAGGUCACCUCAUUGAGGCAUGCACAGACGGUGCCCAGCGGAUGUUGCAAAAUGAGACCUGAAAGUUGUAGCAUAUACGUUGAACAUGUAUAUAUACAUAUCUAGUUUCGAAAUUAUGCGAAAACAUCGACUGGACAGAUUGGAAGUUAACCCCACUGCGAGCAUGUACAUAUAGUAAAAUAGCAUCAAUUUGAAUAAUAGUAAUGAAUAUAAUAAUGGUAUUAAUGCAACAGAGUUCAAGUACAUAAUGACGACUAUGUGCUAGCAACAUCGGGGACAAGAUCAUAUCAUAGCUAUCGAAUAGAAGUUAUACGAGCAACUAAAAUAUACCUAGAACUUUUGCCGGAACGCCUACACGCAAGCAAGGGAGUGAUGUAAUUACUGAUUAUAUGUUUCAGCGUUUGACAAUAAAUUUAGUAGC